rnacentral:rRNA from 1 species
CAAAGGUUUGGUCCUGGCCUUCCUAUUAGUUAUUAACAGAAUUACACAUGCAAGCCUCCACAUCCCGGUGAAGAUGCCCUCUAAAUCUAUUUAAACGACUAAAAGGAGCGGGCAUCAGGCACACUAAAUAAGUAGCCCAUAACGCCUUGCUCAACCACACCCCCACGGGAUACAGCAGUGAUAAAAAUUAAGCCAUGAACGAAAGUUUGACUAAGCCAUGUUAAUAUUAAGAGUUGGUAAAUUUCGUGCCAGCCACCGCGGUCAUACGAUUAACCCAAAUUAAUAGGCUCACGGCGUAAAACGUGCUAAGGACUACAAAACACUAAAGUUAAAAUUUAACCAGGCCGUAAAAAGCUACUGUUAAUAUAAAAUAUACCACGAAAGUGACUUUAUCAUCUCCAACAACACGAUAGCUGGGACCCAAACUGGGAUUAGAUACCCCACUAUGCCCAGCCCUAAACACAAACAAUUUACACAACAAAAU